rfam:Physcomitrella patens subsp. patens PHYPAscaffold_53 genomic scaffold, whole genome shotgun sequence.
UUAAGGCAUGUGAUGAAACAAAUUUGCAUGGGUAAUUUGCGCCUGAUCUCUGUGAUGCAAAACACCUUGGAGAACUGAUGCCUGUC